rnacentral:rRNA from 1 species
UUAACCUGGGAACUGCAUUUGUGACUGCGAGACUAGAGUGUGGCAGAGGGGGGUAGAAUUCCACGUGUAGCAGUGAAAUGCGUAGAGAUGUGGAGGAAUACCGAUGGCGAAGGCAGCCCCCUGGGCCAACACUGACGCUCAUGCACGAAAGCGUGGGGAGCAAACAGGAUUUGAUACCCUGGUAGUCCACGCCCUAAACGAUGUCAACUAGUUGUUGGGGAAGGAGACUUCCUUAGUAACGCAGCUAACGCGUGAAGUCGACCGCCUGGGGAGUACGGUCGCAAGAUUAAAACUCAAAGGAAUUGACGGGGACCCGCACAAGCGGUGGAUUAUGUGGAUUAAUUCGAUGCAACGCGAAAAACCUUACCUACCCUUGACAUGCCAGGAACUUUCCAGAGAUGGAUUGGUGCCCGAAAGGGAACCUGGACACAGGUGCUGCAUGGCUGUCGUCAGCUCGUGUCGUGAGAUGUUGGGUUAAGUCCCGCAACGAGCGCAACCCUUGCCAUUAAUUGCCAUCAUUCAGUUGGGCACUUUAAUGGGACUGCCGGUGAUAAACCGGAGGAAGGUGGGGAUGACGUCAAGUCCUCAUGGCCCUUAUGGGUAGGGCUUCACACGUAAUACAAUGGUCGGUACAGAGGGUUGCCAACCCGCGAGGGGGAGCUAAUCCCAGAAAGCCGAUCGUAGUCCGGAUUGUUCUCUGC